UACGUAGGGUGCGAGCGUUGUCCGGAAUUAUUGGGCGUAAAGGGCUCGUAGGCGGUCUGUCGCGUCGGGAGUGAAAACUCAGGGCUUAACCCUGAGCCUGCUUCCGAUACGGGCAGACUAGAGGUAUGCAGGGGAGAACGGAAUUCCUGGUGUAGCGGUGGAAUGCGCAGAUAUCAGGAGGAACACCGGUGGCGAAGGCGGUUCGUCUGGGCAUUACCUGACGCUGAGGAGCGAAAGUGUGGGAGCGAACAGG
rnacentral:rRNA from 1 species